rnacentral:rRNA from 1 species
UACGGGGGGGGCAAGCGUUGUUCGGAAUUACUGGGCGUAAAGGGUGCGUAGGCGGCUUUCUAAGUUGGAUGUGAAAACUCUGGGCUCAACCCAGAGCCUGCAUCCAAAACUGGAAGGCUAGGGUUCUGGAGGGGAAAGCGGAAUUCCUGGUGUAGCGGUGAAAUGCGUAGAUAUCAGGAGGAACACCGGUGGCGAAGGCGGCUUUCUGGACAGACACCGACGCUGAGGCACGAAAGCUAGGGGAGCAAAC